UUAAAAAUAAGCUAAAUAAAGCUUUUGGGUUCAUACCCCAAAUAUAAAGAUUAAUCUUUUUUUUAAA
rnacentral:tRNA from 1 species